AAGAGCACUGGUGCGUUGACUUGAGAAGGCGGGUGGGUGGGGCUGUGACCUGAAUUUGACUGUGUGAAAAGCCUGCUGGGACAUGUCAUCGUUGCUGGAUGCCUGGUGUUCAACAGAAACUUGGCAGCACGGUAGCUCCUCUGAACAAGUGCAGGAUGUCACCAGAAAUCAGGGCCCCAAUGAGUACAGCCUUCCUGUGAUUCUAAAUGCACUGUCCUGUCCGGUGAUAGCUUGUCCUACUGAUAAACUGGUGACUCAUCUGGCCACAACAGAGGGAAACUGGAGGAAAUACCAUUGGCAUCCAAGGCCUGGAAGGUUGCCCCAUCUCAAAGGGAAGCCUCUGACUGUUGUUUGAAAUGCUGAGAAACUUGUUUCGGAGGAGACUGUUUUCUUAUCCUGCAAAAUACUACUUUUUGGGUCUUGUCCUCUCCCUAAUCACCUUCUCUGUUCUAAGAAUUCAUCAGAAGCCUGAAUUUGUUAGCAUCAGACAUUUGGAACUUGCUGGAGAUGAUGUGAACAGCAACAUCAAUUGCACCAAAGUUUUACAGAGUGACCCUGAUGAAAUCCAG
rnacentral:lncRNA from 1 species